rnacentral:rRNA from 1 species
GUGCCAGCCGCCGCGGUAAUACGGAGGGUGCAAGCGUUAAUCGGAAUUACUGGGCGUAAAGGGUGCGUAGGUGGUUGUAUAAGUUAGCUGUGAAAUCCCUGGGCUUAACCUGGGCAGGUCAGCUAAGACUGUAUGACUCGAGUAUGGGAGAGGGUAGUGGAAUUUCCGGUGUAGCGGUGAAAUGCGUAGAGAUCGGAAGGAACACCAGUGGCGAAGGCGGCUACCUGGCCUAAUACUGACACUGAGGCACGAAAGCGUGGGGAGCAAACAGGAUUAGAAACCCCUGUAGUCC